GACGAACGCUGGCGGCGUGCCUAAUACAUGCAAGUAGAACGCUGAAGCUUGGUGCUUGCACCGAGCGGAUGAGUUGCGAACGGGUGAGUAACGCGUAGGUAACCUGCCUGGUAGCGGGGGAUAACUAUUGGAAACGAUAGCUAAUACCGCAUAAGAGUAGAUGUUGCAUGACAUUUGCUUAAAAGGUGCAAUUGCAUCACUACCAGAUGGACCUGCGUUGUAUUAGCUAGUUGGUGAGGUAACGGCUCACCAAGGCAACGAUACAUAGCCGACCUGAGAGGGUGAUCGGCAACACUGGGACGGAGACCCGGCCCAAACUCCUCCGGGAGGCAGCAGUAGGGAAUCUUCGGAAAUGACGGAAGUCUGACCGAGCAACGCCGCGUGAGUGAAGAAGGUUUUCGGAUCGUAAAGCUCUGUUGUAAGAGAAGAACGAGUGUGAGAGUGGAAAGUUCACACUGUGACGGUAUCUUACCAGAAAGGGACGGCUAACUACGUG
rnacentral:rRNA from 1 species